AGUGAACGCUGGCGGUAGGCCUAACACAUGCAAGUCGAACGGCAGCACAGUAAGAGCUUGCUCUUACGGGUGGCGAGUGGCGGACGGGUGAGGAAUACAUCGGAAUCUACUUUUUCGUGGGGGAUAACGUAGGGAAACUUACGCUAAUACCGCAUACGACCUACGGGUGAAAGCAGGGGAUCUUCGUACCUUGCGCGAUUGAAUGAGCCGAUGUCGGAUUAGCUAGUUGGCGGGGUAAAGGCCCACCAAGGCGACGAUCCGUAGCUGGUCUGAGAGGAUGAUCAGCCACACUGGAACUGAGACACGGUCAAGACUCCUACGGGAGGCAGCAGUGGGGAAUAUUGGACAAUGGGCGCAAGCCUGAUCCAGCCAUACCGCGUGGGUGAAGAAGGCCUUCGGGUUGUAAAGACCUUUUGUUGGGAAAGAAAAGCAGCAGGUUAAUACCCCGCUGUUCUGACGGUACCCAAAGAAUAAGCACCGGCUAACUUCGUG
rnacentral:rRNA from 1 species